UACGUAGGGUCCGAGCGUUGUCCGGAUUUAUUGGGCGUAAAGAGCUCGUAGGCGGUUCCGUAAGUCAGAUGUGAAAACUCAGGCUCAACCGGAGACGCCAUCUGAUACUGCGGUGACUGGAGUCUGGUAGGGGAACACGGAAUUCCUGGUGUAGCGGUGAAAUGCGCGAUAUCAGGAGGAACACCGAUGGCGAAGGCAGUGUU
rnacentral:rRNA from 1 species